AGCCUGAACGCUGUCGGCGUGGUUAAGACAUGCAAGUCGUACGGGUGUAGCAAUACACUAGUGGCGCACGGGUGAGUAAUAUAUAGCUAACGUACCCCGGAUUCUGGGAUAGCCAAUCGAAAGGUUGGGUAAUACCAGAUGAUAUGACGGUGUCGCAUGGCACUGUCCUCAAAGGGCAACCGUUCUGGGAUCGGGCUAUAUUGUAUCAGUUAGUUGGUGAGGUAAUGGCUCACCAAGACUUUGACGCAUAGCCGGGCUGAGAGGUCGGCCGGCCACAUCGGAACUGAGACACUGUCCGGACUCCUACGGGGGGCUGCAGUAACGAAUCUUCCACAAUGCACGAAAGUGUGAUGGAGCGACGCCGAGUGUGGGACGAAGUCCUUCGGGAUGUAACCACUGUCAUGGGAAAGAAGAUCUGAUCUACCCAAGACGGAAGUGGCGACUAACUCUGUGCCAGCAGCCGC
rnacentral:rRNA from 1 species